AGACGUGAAGACAGAAGAGAGGUUCUUGUGCAUACGUUUGAACAGGGAAAAGAUUGAAAUCAAAUGCCCGGAGGUUCCAAGGAAGAGUAAAAAUAGAAGCCAGAGUGGCAGAGGGAACCAUUAUGCAGUGUGUGGCCCUCAUUCACGAUGCUUACAGUAGCUGAUUUAUUAGAAGACAGAAAAGAAAAUUGAUUUAUAAAUGGUCUUGGGAAGGGGAAACGGAUGGAAUAAAUGAGCUGAGACUAGGAUAUGAGCUACACUAAGGGCUCCAUGUGCCUUCUCAAAAGAAUAAAAGAAUCAAGACACAGUCUCACUAUUUGGGAGGUGUUGAAGGAGAUGCAUACAGCUGGCAAGGCCAAGGGAAGAUGCUGCGCUAUCUCCUACCAGUCCACUCCAACCAGGAGCCAGGCUGGAGCUGAAAACCGCAAAGGGCAAGGUCAUCAUAGCUGCAAAGGUCACAGAUGUCAGCCCAAACUGAUACAGAAGGCAGUCAUCACAACUUCUACCACCGCUCUGACCAAACAAGCCUCCCAGGUGCUGGGAUCUACCAGAGGAAAGGAGAAGAGAGCCUGAGAUGGAAUUUUGAACUGGACUCCAGUGAGUUAAUUAUCCUGAACCCACUGAUCAAUCUCAAGAGUGGGCUGAAUAUUCUGAGAAUGGCUGCCUGAAGAUGUCUGCCAGAGGGUGGCUAGAGGGUCAGAGACAGAAAUUCAGGGCUAUUUUAGAAAUAAACACAAGUCUACUUA